rnacentral:rRNA from 1 species
UACGUAGGGAGCAAGCGUUGUCCGGAAUCAUUGGGCGUAAAGCGCGCGUAGGUGGCCUCAUAAGUCCGCUCUGAAGGCCUGGGGCUCAACCCCAGGAGGCGGGUGGAUACUGCCGGGCUCGAGUCCGGAAGAGGCGAGUGGAAUUCCUGGUGUAGCGGUGGAAUGCGCAGAUAUCAGGAGGAACACCAAUAGCGAAGGCAGCUCGCUGGGACGGUACUGACGCUAAGGCGCGAAAGCGUGGGGAGCGAACAGG